CGGGGUAUGGCGCAGUCUGGUAGCGCGCACCCUUGGGGUGGGUGAGGUCACACGUUCAAAUCGUGUUACUCCGACCA
rnacentral:tRNA from 1 species